rnacentral:rRNA from 1 species
UACGUAGGGUGCAAGCGUUGUCCGGAAUUAUUGGGCGUAAAGAGCUCGUAGGCGGUUUGUCGCGUCUGCUGUGAAAACUCGGGGCUCAACCCCGGGCCUGCAGUGGGUACGGGCAGACUAGAGGUAUGCAGGGGAGAACGGAAUUCCUGGUGUAGCGGUGAAAUGCGCAGAUAUCAGGAGGAACACCGGUGGCGAAGGCGGUUCUCUGGGCAUUACCUGACGCUGAGGAGCGAAAGUGUGGGGAGCGAACAGG